rnacentral:lncRNA from 1 species
AUAAUCCUGCCGGAACACACUCUUCUUGCUGCAUUAGGAUCCAACUGGAAAACAUAAAGAUGAAUUGCUGUAGGCUGGAAAAUCAAUUAGGAAAAAGAGGGAUGUGAUUCAGACACAGGACUAGCUUUGUGAUCCCUGUGCUCCGGAGAAACCUCCACCCUGGCCUCAAGGAGGCUGUGAAACCAAAAGGGACCUUGGGUGCCAGCUUGCUGGGUCCUUACUUACUUGGUCCAUCUUCUGGCUGGAAGGAGCACCUGGGCUCUCAGAGUGCCCCCCGACUCUCAGCAGCUCCUUUUCUGGCCCAAGAGGUAAGAGUCUGGAGGACCCCAGUUCAGUUUCUUCCUGUUUAUUCUUUUAUCGUUGACUAUAAGAUUGUGAACCUAGCACAAUGCUAAGAGCUUGAGAUACAGCAGCUAAACAGACAGCCACUAUCCUUACCCUUUUGGAGUUUUUAGCAUAGUGGUGUGCCUAAACAAGUCAUAAUCAUGAUGAUGAUGAGAGGGUAUUACACAGGGCAUGACUACCAGAAGGUGGGCUCAUUGGAAGCCAUUUUAGAAGCAGCUGACCACAGUCUCUCUGGGGCGGGCACCAUUAUCCUCACUUUACUGAUGAGGAAACUGAGCUACACAGGGGUCGAGCAACUUGCCCACGGUCACAAAACUUACACAGGUUUGAACACAGGUAGUCUGGCUCCAGGAAAACAAUCCUACAUGUAUGGUGGGAUUCCAGUUUGAGAAAGCAAACUGCAGUGUGGAGGAUGGAUUAGAGCAGGGAAGCUGGAGGCAGGAAGAUCAGUGAGGAAGACUUUUCCCUGGUUCCAGUAGAGAUGAGAAGGCCUGAACCCAGGUGCAGAUACGGGAAGGAGAUGGCAGGUUGGAAAGAUAUUUAGGAGAAAGAGGGUGUGGGAACCUGAGUGGGAGGCACCAGGGUGAUGCCCAGUACUCUGAUUUGGGUGACUUUGAGGAUGCUGACGCCAUUAUUUAAGAUAAGAAUAAGCAAAAGAUGAGUAGAUUUGUGGGGAGGGUACCCACGAAUUUGGGUACCCACAAAAGAUGAGUAGAUUUGUGGGGAGGGUACCCACAAAAGAUGAGUAGAUUUGUGGGGAGGGACAUAUUUAUUUAAAUAAUGAUGCCAUUAUUUAAGAUAAGAAUAAGCAAAAGAUGAGUAGAUUUGUGGGGAGGGUACCCACAAAUUUGGGUACCCACAAAAGAUGAGUAGAUUUGUGGGGAGGGUACCCACAAAAGGUGAGUAGAUUUGUGGGGAGGGACAUAUUGAGUUUGGUUUUAUAGAUAGUGCAAGGUAUCUCUGCAAAUAGUCACUGUCCUUCUCAACCUCCUUCCCUCCCCCGACCCCCACAUCACAAUAUGUGUACUUUCUCUACAGAGUUAGACUACAGUGUACUGUUCAGCAGGCAGAAAGGCCACAAUCUAUGGAUGAAAGAAGUCCCCCUGCAGGGAGAGGACCUAGUCAGAACAAUCUUCCUAGGAAGAAGAAAAUCCUGGGAUGGGAACUGUGGUCUUAGAAAGCAGACCUUACACAGUGGCUCACACCUGUAAUCCCAGCACUUCAGGAAGCUGAAGUGGGGGCAUUGCUUGAGGCCAGGAGUCGAAGACUAGCCUGGGCAACAUUGUGAGUUCUCAUCUCUACCAAAAUAAAAAAUAAAAAAAGUAUCUGGGCAUGGCAGCAUGUGCCUGUAGUCUCAGCUACUAGGGAGGCUGAGGCAGGAGGAUUGCUUGAGCCUAGGAGUUGGGAGUCUGUGGUGAGAUAUGAGAGCACCACUGUACUCCAGCCUGGGCAACAGAGUGGAGAAUUAAAAAAGAAUUAAAAAAAGACCAGAAACAGCAGAGAAAGGGGGCCUCCUUCCCCUCUCUGUCUGUUUUAUUGAGGGAGAGUCUCACUCUGUCACUCAGGCUGGAGUACAGUGGUACGAUUUUGGCUCACUGCACCCUCAACCUCAACCUGGGCUUAAGCUAUCCUCCCACCUUAGCCUCCCGAGUAGCUGGGACUACAGGUACAUACCACCAUACCCAGCUAGUUUUUUUUUUUAAAUGUUCUGUAGAGAUGAGGUCUCAUUAUGUUGGCCAGGCUGGUCUCAAACUCCCGGGCUUAAGUGAUCCUCCCACCUCAGUCUCCCAAAGUGCUGGGUUUACAGGCAUGAGCCACUGCUCCCGGCCUCCCUCUCUGAGAACAUGCUCUAGGUGUGUUGAAAGUAUUUCUGGGUGGGGAUAAGAUGGGGAGGGGAGGUGACUUCUUUUCUACGUAGGUGACCAGGGUAGGCAGAGAGAGCCUAUCAGGGCCGUCCAGGCCAGUGUAUACUCUAGGAGAAAACAUAUCCAAUAUCCAGUUGUAAGUUCCACCUGGUGGAUAAUUAAUUUUCUUCUCUAGGAACCUUCAAGAAAGUUCUGCUAAAAGCUGUAGCCUGGCUUUAGUGCUGCUGUGUAUUAUCCCUGCCUAGGCAGGUGGGAAGGGGAAAUGGUUUCCUGAGGGUUUCCAGCAUGGAGAUUUCAGCUGGGAUCAGAGCAGGUAUCCCCAGGAUAAAGGCACUCUGGGAUGAGUCUUGGCCGAGUUGUUCAACCAUCCUCUUUAUAAGGAGAUUCUUUUCCUCAUUGCCAGCCAGAAGCCAGGAUGCCUAUAUGACACUGUCUGGCCCAGUUGGAUGGAUUUCUGGGUCAGCUGAGAAAAGAGGGAGUUUUCAGGGUACAGGUUGUAACUGAAGGCUGGGAGAAGGGAUGGGAUGACCUGGGAAGUCAGUGGAGUUGGAAGGGACUGUGAGCUAGCUUAGAAGCUCCACAACAAGCGUGGGGCCAUGUCCGCUCAUUCACUGCUGUGUCCCUAAUGCCCUAUACAGUGCUUGACAUCUCCUAGGACCUCAAAUAGUAGUUGAAUGAAUGAGUUAAUUAAAUAAAUUACAGAAAUUUAGGAAGCAUCAACUUCUAAGAGACCUGAGGAAGUGACAAAAGUUUGGAACAGCUGCCAUAAGCAAUGAGAGGAAGAUGAGCUGAAGAAUGGCUGUGCUGUGAGUACAGGGAAGUUAAGAAAGUUCUCUUUGGCUGGGUGUGGUGGCUCAUACCUGUAAUCCCAGCACUUUGGGAGGCUGAGGUGGGCAGAUCACUUGAGGUCAAGAGCUGGAGACCAGCCUGGCCAACAUGGUUAAACCCCGUCUGUAUUAAAAAUACAAAAAUUAGCUGGGCGUGGUGGCUUAUGCCUCUAAUCCCAGCUAUUCAGGAGGCUGAGGCACGAGAAUCGCUUGAACCUGGGAGACAGGAGGCAGAGGUUGCAGUGAGCCAACAUUCUGCCACUGCAUUCCAGCCUGGGCAACAGAGCAAAACCAGAAAAAAACAAAGAAAGAGAGAGAGAGAGAGGGAGGGAGGGAGGGAAGGAGGGAAGAAAGGAAGGAAGGAAGGAAGGUAGGAAGGAAGGAAGGAAAAAGAAAAGAAAAGAGAAAGAAAGUUCAUUCUCCUUGAAGGCCAGGCUUUGGGCACUGGCAGCACCCAUGGAGAAAAGGGCUUCUCUGUACCCCCAUCUCCACAGUGUGCUUUGGCCCAGCAAGGUCCUGGGGGAAGUACUCCUGGUAAUCCUGAGAAUCAGAUAGCAGGAGUGCAUUUCCAGGGCUGCAGGCCACCCUCCACAGGACCACCUGGGUGGCUAGUGUGCUCAGUGCUGGUCACCAGGGGCUGACCUUCAAGUGUCAGAGGAAGCUGGGAAGUUUUGGAUCCUGGAUUGAGAAACUGGCCUGUGUUUUUAACUCUAGGAGUCAUGAUCUGAAUGUGAAAUUCCAAGGGCUACAAACACAGACCAUGGGCUUUUAUGACUCUGGGUGACCUCUAUCCUCUGGCUGUCAUUUGGGGAUAUUUUUCUUCUCCUUUUAAUCCUGAAAAGGAAAGAAAAAAUGUUACAAGAAGCAAGUUACUCAUCACUUUGUUAAGGAUUGAUUCCAUUUAAUUCCAGAGCUUGUUUGACCCUUGGAUAAACAAUUGAAACCUUCUGGAGGUACCUAAAAGGAAUGCAAGAAUGCAUUUGCCAUUUAAUGGUAGAAAAAUUUUAAAUGGGAUUCUGAUAGUAUAAAAAAUAGUAUUUGUAUAAGUGCUUAAAAAAUCACUUGUAAAAUAUACGCUCUUCAAUAAUGGCCAAAUAUGGGAAACUCUGAUGUUUGGUCACAUAACCAGGCUGAUUUUGCAAAUGGGAAGAUCCAUCUAUCCCCAUUUACUUAGGUUGAGCAAUCUUCUGGCUACAAAUUUCCUCCAAAGAUGUCUAGAAUCAUUGGCCAAAUGGAGAUCCAGACUAAAUGCAUAAGAUAGCACCAACAUAAGUUAGCCAGCUUGGGUUCUCUGAGGUGGGUUUAGCCAUGCCAAAGGAGAAUUGUUCAAAGUUUUAACUUUAUGGGUAAUGGUAGAAGUUACGGAUUAUAUAGUUUGUCACCUGCCAAAUCUGCAAGAACAAAUAAAGAUGAAAUGCAAUGAAUGUAUAAACAACUCAAAGGGAAAAAGUGCUAACCAGGUUUAGAAAGCCAAGAGUUUCCUAGCAGGCUGAUAUGACCUAAUCUCUUUCCAUGACAUACUGACCAACUGGUGAGUAAUUUCACCAGUAAACUAAGAAGUCAGAAUGUCAAGCACGACCAUGAAGGGGGUAACUGGAGGCAGAAGCAGCUGAGCCCCAGAUUCACCCUGGGCCUCUGCAACCUUCUCAUCCCCAGCUAGGUAAUAGAAGAGAUCAAAGUUCAUGAAAUUUGCUGGGGACCUCAAAAAAGAGGGUUAGGAGUGGAGUAAGAGGGGAAUGUCUUCCUUUCUGUCAUAACACAUAUCCCAUUGUAAUUUUAGUUUAUUUCUUUUUUUUAGAGACUUGCUCUGUUGCCCAGACUGGAGUGUAGUGGCGUGGUCAUAGCUUACUACAGCCUUGAACUCCUGGGCUCAAGGGAUCCUCCUGCCUCAGCCUCCUGAGCAGCUAGGACUAUAGGUGGGUGCCACCACGCCUGGCUAAUUUUUACAUUUUCUGUGGAGAUGGGGGUCUUGAUAUAUUACCCAGGCUGGAACCCAUCAUAUCAUUUCAUCUCCUGCUGCUGCAGGACAGGCAGUGUGGUUUAGCUGGAAAAUCAAGGACCACAGACAGAAGCCCAGUCUCUGUCUGUCACUAUCUGCACAUUCUUGGGCCAAUUCCUCCUGCCCUCUACUGCCUCAGGUUCUUUAUUUGUAAAAUGAUUUUGAAGAUUAAACAAGAUCAAAC